AGACGGCAACCAACCCAACAGAUCCGUCCUCGGAGUCACGAUAUCUUGUAUGGACCAACAGGACAAGCAGAACUGGAGUAUUGCAUAAAAAGACUUUGGCUAAGCUUACCCAUUAAGAUGUUAAGGCCACUUCCCGAACUCCAACAACUCCAAAUCAAAACCCAUAUUCAGUAAGCUUCCACGGCAGAAGGAGACAAAUCCAAUUAUUCAAAAUUGAGGCCAAAAAGCCAAACUCCAAAAGCGUCAGAGAAGAUUCUUAAACAUGUCUUUAAGCAGGAAACAAUCGAGCAAAAGUGACCAGCUCAACUAGCCUUGAAGAGAUAUGGACAGAUAAUCUAACAUUCCUGACCUACAGUUCACGGAAAAUACAAUUGCAGGACAACUACAGGAUGGUCAUAAAUCUAUGUCAAAUAAUUUAUUAAUUAAAAAGGUAUAAGUAAUCCGCAGACCGUUACAACUCCCCCCCUACUAAAUUUCAACUUCAUCUGGAUUUGGACGUAGAUCUUUGGCAUGCCAAUUACCUUUGAAGGCCUUGGUCUCUGGAUCCAUUAACUCAUAUGUACACAAGCCCAAUUUCUUUUUAAUUACGAAAGGCCCAAUAAAUUUUGGAGAAAAUUUGGCAGUAACGUAGUUUGCUGCAUUGGAUAACACAUAAUUUCUUCGCCAAACAGAUUGUCCAACCAUAAAGUUAGCAGGUCUUUUGCGCAAAUCGUUGUCAUCACCAGCACUAAUUUCGUCAACUACUGGUACACCUCGAGACAAACAAUCCGGAACCUGAUGAUCUCUUCCUUUCCUAUGUAUGAUUUUAAAGUUAUGCUGUUGUACUCUGAGAGCCCACCUAUUGAGACGACCACUAGGGUUUUUAAAAUUAUUAAGCCAAACUAAUGAAUGGUGAUCGGCUCCAAAUCACACUCAAACAUUCACGUUCGGUAGUGGUAUAUGACCGUUCCUGUUUAGUCAGCGAACGACUGUUAUAACAAAUCACACGCUCCCCAUCUUCGUAAGGUUGAGUAAGAACUGAACCUAUGCCAUAUGCACUAGCGUCACAUUGGACAUAAAAUGGUUUACUGAAAUCCGGACAUGUUAAUAUAGGUGCACUAAUAAGAUGUUCUUGGAUUUUCCUGAACGACAGAUUACAC